rnacentral:rRNA from 1 species
CCUACGGGAGGCAGCAGUGGGGAAUAUUGCGCAAUGGGCGAAAGCCUGACGCAGCGACGCCGCGUUAGGGAUGAAGGUCUUCGGAUCGUAAACCUCUGUCAGCAGGGAAGAACGGUCACUGUGCUAAUCAGCAGUGAAUUGACUGUACCUGCAAAGGAAGCACCGUCUAACUCCGUGCCCGCAGUCGCGGUAAUACGGAGGGUGCGAGCGUUAAUCGGAGUUACUGGGCUGAAAGCGCUCGUAGUCGGUAUGUCAAAUCAAGCGUGAAAUCCCCGCGCGCAACGUGGGAACUGCCUUUGAAACUGGCAACCUGGAGUGUGUGAGAGGAUAGUGGAAUUCCAGGUGUAGGAGUGAAAGCCGUAGAUAUCUCGAGGAACAUCAGUGGCGAAGGCGACUAUCUGGCACAUAACUGACGCUGAGGAGCGAAAGCGUGGGUAGCAAACAGGAUUAGAUACCCGAGUAGUC